rnacentral:rRNA from 1 species
GACGAACGCUGGCGGCGUGCUUAACACAUGCAAGUCGAACGGAGCGAAUGAAAGCUUGCUUUUAUGAGCUUAGUGGCAAACGGGUGAGUAACACGUAGACAACCUGCCGACAGGAUGGGGACAACAUUCCGAAAGGAAUGCUAAUACCGAAUGAAGUCGAGGGAAGGCAUCUUCCUUCGAUGAAAGAUGGCCUCUGAACAUGCUAUCACCUGCCGAUGGGUCUGCGUCUGAUUAGCUGGUUGGUGAGGUAACGGCUCACCAAGGCGACGAUCAGUAGCCGGUCUGAGAGGAUGAACGGCCACAUUGGGACUGAGACACGGCCCAGACUCCUACGGGAGGCAGCAGUGGGGAAUCUUCCGCAAUGGGCGCAAGCCUGACGGAGCAACGCCGCGUGAGUGAAGAAGGUCUUCGGAUCGUAAAGCUCUGUUGACGGGGACGAACGUGCGAGAGGUGAAUAAUCUCUU